CGCGUUGAAAUGCGUCCAAGCUAGAGGAUCAUCUUCGCUGAAAUCCUAUACAUCGGUACAAAUCCCACAUUUACUAUGCAACCAGAAGAUUUAUCUUCAUUGACAGCAUGAACAGAUGGUUCUGCUGCUAAGAAAUGAGAGAAAAAUCAAACAUAAAUAAAAUUCCAAUAAAAUAUUCAUUUGCAACUUCAAAAUGCGCAUUGCAUUCGAGCACGUGCAGCCUUAAGCUAUCCCAAUGUGAUAAUUUGCGACACUAGCUUGAGGGUAUAUCGGGAAAUUUAUGAAUUGACAGUAUUUUUGCACCAACUCCUGCAAAACACACCCCGCAAGGAUCAGUGAUGUGCGGGAACAAACGUCAGCCAAUAAGGUCAAACAGCGAC